rnacentral:rRNA from 1 species
AUUGAACGCUGGCGGCAGGCCUAACACAUGCAAGUCGAGCGCGCGGCGGACGGGUGAGUAAUGUCUAGGAAACUGCCUGAUGGAGGGGGGUACCGAAUGGAAACGGUAGCAAAUACCGCAUACCAUCAGAUGUGCCCAGAUGGGAUUAGCUAGUAGGUGGGGUAACGGCUCACCUAGGCGACGAUCCCUAGCUGGUCUGAGAGGAUGACCAGCCACACUGGAACUGAGACACGGUCCAGACUCCUACGGGAGGCAGCAGUGGGGAAUAUUGGACAAUGGGCGCAAGCCUGAUGCAGCCAUGCCGCGUGUGUGAAGAAGGCCUUCGGGUUGUAAAGCACUUUCAGCGGGGAGGCGUUACCCGCAGAAGAAGCACCGGCUAACUCCGUGCCAGCAGCCGCGGUAAUUC